AUGACUCCUUCACCAGCCAAGCAUAGAGCCAAGAUGGAUGAUAUUGUGGUUGUAGCUCAGGGCUCCCAGGCCUCAGGAAACGUCAGCAACGAUCCCGAUGUCAUCAAAUUGCAAGAGAUUCCAACCUUCCAGCCCCUUUUGAAAGGGCUAUUGAGUGGCCAGACUUCCCCAACAAAUGCCAAAUUGGAGAAACUGGACUCUCAGCAGGUGUUGCAGCUCUGCCUCCGAUAUCAAGAUCACCUGCAUCAGUGUGCAGAGACUGUUGCUUUUGACCAGAAUGCUUUGGUUAAACGUAUCAAAGAGAUGGAUCUGUCUGUAGAGACUCUGUUCAGCUUCAUGCAGGAGCAUCAGAAAAGAUACGCCAAGUAUGCUGAGCAGAUCCAGAAAGUGAAUGAGCUGUCCGCCAUCCUCCGCCACAUACAGAUGGGCGUGGACCAGACCGUGCUGCUGCUGGACAGGCUCAACAGCCUGCUGCCCGAGAGCGAGCGACUGGAGCCCUUCAGCAUGAAGCCCGACCGCGAGCUCAGGCUGUAGCUGCCGCCCGGCCUGCCUGGGGCCGGGAGCCCCAGACACCGACACGCUGAGGAGGUUUGGAGCCAACAUCAUCUCAUCUGACCGGGGCUGGAGGCUAGUGGGAGGCUCUGGUACUCCCUGACGUGGGUGCGAAGGAGUCCGGCAGGCGUGAAAAUCUGACUUUGCCCAACUCUUUUCCUUGAUCAGUUUCCUGGUGAAAGGAACCAAACCAGUUCUCGGUGAUAACUGAAGCCAGAACAUGUGAAUUAUUAGGAAUUCUUUGAAGAAUUC